CCAAUGACUGGUGGCAGCCAAGUUCUUAUUCGUAGGAAGGACAAGAAACUGCUUUGCUCUGAUUGCCUGACGAUUUACACGCGCCCAGUGCUACCAUCGUACACAAAGCCAAAGAGAGGAACUAGCUAGUGAGCAAGACAGCUCGACAUCAGCACAACCGAAUGCGAAACGAGUAAAAAUCGACGAUCCAUGUAGCUUGUCUCACUUUAUCGUGCUUGCAUGCAGCAAUUCGAUUUUCGGAUACUUGAUCACGUAGUGAAGCUCUGCAAGAAUAUCAUAGUGGCUAUAGGAAAUCAAAAAUCGUGGUCAACGGUGAUAUUUUAAUUAUUUGCAGUGAAAAUUUAACCUUUACACCCAUGAAGGUCAAUAACUCCAUUUUUACUUAACUCAAAUUUAUU